UCAUCUCCAUCUCAGCACUGAAGAAACCAAGGUUCAAGGAGGCAAAAUAUUCAGAUGAACCACAUGAAACUGUCAAUAUUCAUCAUCAUCCAACAGAAAUGGCAAGUUAGUAAUUUCCCACAAGCCUCAGAGCAGGUCCAGACAGUUUCUCUCCUUUCCUGGACUGUCUCUCCUGGACUGUCAGAGCCUCUUAAGCACUAAUGCUUCACAUUUUUGAAGUUUACUUUAAGCAUGGACACUGCCUUGGCUUUAAAAAUAUGUCCAAGUGAUUUGAUAUUCCAGCUUUCAAGAGGUGAAGUUUAACUCCCCUCCUUCUGACUGUAAGCUAAACUGAGUGAUUCGCAGGCCCACAUGGUGAGAAACUGAAGGUUCUUGCAAAGUCACGUGAAUGCGCUUGGAAAAGGAGCCUCCAGCCUAGUCAAGCCUCAGAGACUGCAGCCCCAGUCAACAGCUUGACUUGAGAGAUUCCAAGUCAGAACCACCCAGCUAAGUUGCUCUUGGAUUCUUGACCCACAAAAACUGUGAUUAUUAAAUGUGUGUUGUCAUAUAUUACAAGUGCACUCCUUCACCAAUUUUCCCU
rnacentral:lncRNA from 1 species